rnacentral:rRNA from 1 species
AGAGUUUGAUCAUGGCGUCAGGAUGAACGCUGGCGGCGUGCCUAAUACAUGCAAGUCGAACGAGCGAGAUCCAGCUUGCUGGAUUUAGCGAGUGGCGAACGGGUGAGUAAUACGUAAGCAACCUGCCUACACGGACUGGGAUAACACCUGGAAACGGGCGCGUAAUACCGGAUAGGUAACGAGAGGGCAUCCUCUUGUUAUUAAAGGUUUGAAACACAAGUAGAUGGGCUUACGGUGCAUUAGCGUAGUUGGUGAGGUAACGGCCCACCAAGGCGAUGAUGCAUAGCCGGCCUGAGAGGGUGAACGGCCACAUUGGGACUGAGACACGGCCCAGACUCCUACGGGAGGCAGCAGUAGGGAAUUUUCGGCAAUGGGCGCAAGCCUGACCGAGCAACGCCGCGUGAAGUGAUGAAGGUUUUCGGAUCGUAAAGCUCUGUUGUAAGGGAAGAAUGGCGCGGAUAGACUCCGUCGAUUGACGGUACCUUACCAGAAAGCCACGGCUAACUACGUGCCAGCCGCAGC